AAUAUUUCAAAUUUCCGCGCCUUAAAUAACAGUCUCCUUUUAUUUAGUUAGUUUCCUCGGCAGGUUUGGCCGCCCGCUUGUCUCUGCCCCCCAGUGGGCCCGGGGCGCCUUGGUGUUGCCUGCGGCCCCCGCGCGCAGCCCCCGGCCCAGCCUUCGCCGCACCGAGCGCGCUCGCCGGAGCCACAGCCCCCUCCUGCCGCGACCUCGCCUGACCCGGUUCUCCGGUCACCCGGAGCCGACUAAGGCCGCCCCCCGCCCAGACGCCUGACUGCUUCCCAGCUCAACUUCCCUCCCCGGACUUUGGAGCGUCUUCUGCUUUGGGGUUUGGAUCCUGGUCUCCCUGGAGCGGCGGAAGGGCCGCUGCGAUAGGAAAGCAGCAGAGCAGGCCAGUGGCCAGAGCCUGCCCCAGCCCCCACCCCUCGGGUAACUUUGGAGGCGCCCUCGGAGUGAGUGUGUGCACGGCCGCGCCAGCCGGCUGGGGCGAGCGGGCGCACGGCGCAACGGACUGGAGGCGAGAGCUGGGGGCGGGGAGGGGAGAGGGCCCCGGCGCCUCCCCGCCGCCACCGCAGCGCCCAGGGGGCUGCGGGCUACCCCGGCGGCCAGGUCCCCCCGGCCUUAGCCCUCAGGCAGCAGUCCCCGAGGAGGCGGCAGCCAUCCUACUGGAUGGUUCCGGCGACCUGUGCCUGGGGACUGGGGCCGGAGGGCGGUGUGGAAGCUGGAACAGAAGGGCUGGUAGGCGCCUAGCUCUUUGCAGAGGUGAGCUGGCGGCGGGACGCGGCGGGACGGCUAGAGCAACUCCGUGUCCAAUGUCAAUGCCAACACUCCCUCCCCCUCCCCCAUGACAGCUGAGGACAGCCGGGCUCUGAGCCUUGCGUCCAACUGCGAGGACGAAAAUGCCUCUCUGGCUUUUCAGCCCCUUAGACUAUUAGGGGAAAUUGCCCUAUGGUGUUACCCCCCUGCUCCCCCCAUAAAUUGCUAGACAUUUCAGCACGUUCAUUCGGAAGGACCCUCAGUCUGAAACACCCAAAAUUGCAGGCCUGCCAGGGCCUUGGGUGGGGCUGGGGUGCGCAAAACACCUAGAAGUGUUCUUCUUGUUUUUCAAUCCGGAAUAAAAACCAAAACCAAAACCCACUGCCGUCGAGUCGAUUGCGACUCAUAGCGACCCUAGGACAGAGUAGAACUGCCCCAUAGGGUUUCCCAGGCUGUAAUCUUUUCGGCAGCAGACUGCCACAUCUUUCUCCCGCGGAGCGGCUGGUGGGUUCAACCACCGACCUUUCGGUUAGCAGUCGAGCGCUUAACCCCUGCGCCACCAGGGCUCCUCAAUCUGGAAUAGGUCGGAAAAUCGAGAAUGGAUCUUCAUCAAUGCCUCAAAAGAAUAAAGACUCCUCAGAUCUGGAUAUUGACUUGGCAAAUUAAGGUUCCAGUGAAAUGUUUUGCCAUCUGCCAUAGAAACAUUGUGCGAGCUUCAGGUGUCGGAUGUGGGUUUGGAAUUUUAGCCCUCAAAGACAUUAAAUAACAGCAUGGUAACACACCGGGCAAGUGAGCAAAGGUUAUCCUUCCUACCACAGCACCUGCAAAAGCACAAGUGGAACUCACAUAUUUUGCUUCCUGAGUUCUGAAAUGGCUUCUGAACCAUCCAGAGCACAGAAUAGACUGAGGAGAAAUCAGAUCGAAGCAUCAGACAUAAAAUUCAAGCUACAGAGCAACAAUGAUCUUAAAUCAACCAAGAGAAGAAUUGUCUCACAUGAAAAUCCUCUAUUAAUUUGUGAAAAAGGAGUGAUUCUCUGGAAGUUUCAACAUAGACAACCAUAGUAAAAAAAAAGCUUUAUUUUUUCCCCUUUCCAAUUGUGUGCUUUUUAUUUUUUUCUUUUUUGCCGUACUACACUUGCUAUGUCUCCCAGUACAAUGUUGAGUGAUGAGAGUGGACAUCCUUGCCUUAUUCACGAUCUUAGGAGAUAAGCACUCAAUCUUUCACCGUAAUGAUAGCCGUAUGUUUUUCAUAGCUGCCCUUUAUCAAGAAAAUCCACAACCUCCAUCUGAUCAUGAGAAAAACAUCAGACAAAUCCCAAUAGUGGGACAUCCUACAAUAAACCUGACCUACUCCUUAAAACUGUCGAGGUCACCAAAAUAAGGAAAGCCUGAGAAAUGCCACAGCCAAGAAGAGCCUAAAGAGAUAAGACAACUAAAUAUUGUGUGAGAUCCUGGAUGAAAUCCUGGAACAGAAGAAGAAUAUUAGGUCCAAUCAGCAUAAUGUCAUCAAUGUAAUGGACCAGUGUGACGUCUUGUGGAAGAGAAAGGCAAUCAAGUUACCUGCAGGCUAAAUUAUGACAUAGGGCUGGAGGGUUGAUACACCUCUGAGCAUAAUGAAUGAAGACCAGACCAGUCGUGGGAUGAUAUCAAAGAUAUCAUACAUGAAGAAAGCAAAAGGUUGUUGAAAAGAAAGAAAAGACCAAAAUGGAUGCCAGAAGUGACUCUGAAACUUGCUCUUGAAUAUACAGUAGCUAAAGUGAACGGAAGAAACGAUCACAUAAAAGAGCUGAACAGAAGAUUUCAAAGGGUAGCUCAAGAAGACAAAGUAAAUUAUUAUAAUGAAAUGUGAAUAGACUGGAGUUAGAAAAACAAAAGGGAAAAACAUGCUCAGCAUUUCUCAAGCUAAAAGAACUGUACAGGGACUCAGGCAGACAUGGCUCUGGCAGCAUGCUUGCCUGCUUCCUACAUUUGCCUCUUGGAAUGUGCGCUGAACGAAAGCUUUCUUUUUGCUUUACUAUAACUUUGUGGUGAUUUUUCCCUAGGACAGUUAAUAGUAUAGUCAUCGUAGGACUGUGGAGCAGAAGCCGGGAAUGAGAAGUCCUAUUUUUGGGACCCCAUGUGGUUGCACUCCAUGUCUCUUCAACACCAAUGGGUAUCAACAAAGCCUAUGGUUUGACUAGGGAAUUCGCAUCAUUUACCUGUGAAGUUUUUUUUUUUUCUUUUUAAAAUUACUAUUCUGGUAUUUACAGACUUGAUAAUCGUGGUAUAUACUUGAUAUAGCCCGACUAUAUGCUAUUAUAUUCUAAGAUUAUUAUGUAUUAUAUUUGAAGCUCUUUGAAAAUAAGGAUAUAUUUAGAAAAUAAGGAUAUAUUUAGAAAUAUUUUUUGUCUAAAGUUUUUUUCUUUUAACUGAAUUUAGUUGGCUUUACAUUAAGCUUGUAAUUAAUUUCUAUCAGGCCUUUCUCUAUUAAGACUAUUAUUUUUAUAAAUUAAUCAUGGUCAUACUAAGUUUUGUCAUCAGCAGGUAAGUUUUUACCUUGCUGAUUUGCUGAAAACAUUUGACCAAAAUAUCUCAGCAAAAAGAUGGACUAUAUUGGACUUAAAAGGACUGUGACUAGACUGAAUCAAGAUUUCCAGAACUCAUAUGUGGAAACUGAUGAGUUCACAGAUUGUGGCUGAUCCAGAAUCACACAGAACAGAAAUUACAGACUGAGUAAACUGAAGGAUUUCUAUGGAAUUUAUGUGUGAAUAUUACUGAUGUUUUAAGGUCCUACUUUCUGUAUAUAUGAAAUUUUCCUCCUUUCUCUUAAAUUAUCUAAGAGUUUAGAUAUUUUAACUCUCCAAAUAUAAGUUUCUAUUUGUAAACUUAGCAAAGUUGUAAAUAUCAUAACCAGAGAAGUGUCUAAAGUUUGAGCUAUGAUUUUACAAAAUAGAAUGGCAUUAGAUUUCCUGUUAGUCUCCCAAGGAACAGUUUGUGCCUUAAUAGAUAAAUGUUGCUGUGUUUAUAUUAAUAGGAAAUUUGAUGUUUUACAGAAUAUAGGUGCUGCUGAGACACAUGAAAAGCAAUCACUGAUGCUGCUUACGUAUAAAGAAACACCUCCUUGGUUCAAAGGCCUUAGGGUCAUGGUUUCAUUGGUUAUUUCAGACAAUUGACCUAAUAUUAUUGUUAGUGUUUCUAUUCUACCUCAUAGUUUGCUGUAUGGUUCCAGGGAUCUUUAAAAAAAAAAAAAAAAAAAGAUGGUGUCCAACUACCAUUAUUCAAUGUUUUUGACCAAAGAUUCUAUAGCAAGAUUAUGAUCCAAAGGAGGGAAUGAAAAAAAGAGUUGUAAUUCUCCUGGAAUCCAAAUUUCUGGCUUUCAAGGAUGUUGGUUAGCAAAAAAGAGGAAGACCCUCAAGGAGAUGGACUGACACAGUAGCUGCUGCAGUGGACUCAGAAACAGCAAUGAAUGUGAGGAUAGCGCAGGACUGCAGUGUUUCAUUCUGUUGUGCAUGGGGUCACUAUGAGUCCUAACCGAUUCUAUGGCACAUAACAACAUAACAACAACAAUAACACAAACUACAAAUGUUCACAUAAGUAUCUUUGUUUAAACCUACACUGGGUUACGUUUCUCUUAUAUAUAAAUUUUAGAAUCAGUUUGUCAAUAUCUUCAAAAUGCCUACUGAGAUACGGAUUGAGAUUACUUUGCAUCUAUACAUCAAUUUGAGGAAAAGUGGAAUUUUAACUAUAUUGUUUUAUGAUUCAUGAAAAUGCUAUGUAUCUCCAUUUAUUUAGGUCUUUUAAAUUUUCUAUCACCAAUGUUUUGUACUUUUUAGCUUGCAAAUCUUGCAAAUAUUCUGUUAAAUUUAUUCCUAAGUAUUUAUUUUUAUGGUUGUAUAAAUAAUAU